rnacentral:rRNA from 1 species
UACAGAGGGCCCGAGCGUUGUUCGGAUUCAUUGGGCGUAAGGGGUGCGUAGGCGGCGGGGAAAGUCUGAUGUGAAAUCCUGGGGCUCAACCCUGGAACUGCAUUGGAUACUUCCUUGCUAGAGUACUGGAGAGGAAACUGGAAUUUACGGUGUAGCAGUGAAAUGCGUAGAGAUCGUAAGGAAGACCAGUGGCGAAGGCGAGUUUCUGGACAGUUACUGACACUGAGGCGCGACAGCGUGGGGAGCAAACAGG